rnacentral:piRNA from 2 species
UUCAACAAGAACCGCACACACGAACGCCAC